rnacentral:rRNA from 1 species
UGAAUAUUUAUAUAAUAUUAACAUAAUUCAUAUUACUAUAUAUUUUAGUAUAUGAAAUUUUACUUUGAGAAAAUUAGAGUGCUUAAAGCAGGCAUAUGCCUUGAAUACUCCAGCAUGGAAUAAUAUUAAAGAUUUUUAUCUUUUUUAUUGGUUCUAAGAUAAGAAUAAUGAUUAAUAGGGACAGUUGGGGGCAUUUGUAUUUAACAGUCAGAGGUGAAAUUCUUAGAUUUGUUAAAGACAAACUAAUGCGAAAGCAUUUGCCAAGGAUGUUUUCAUUAAUCAAGAACGAAAGUUAGGGGAUCGAAGACGAUCAGAUACCGUCGUAGUCUUAACCAU